CGUGUAGGCGGUUUGGUAAGUCUGAUGUGAAAGCCCCGGGCUCAACCUGGGAAGUGCAUUGGAAACUGUCAGACUUGAAUACGGGAGAGGGUAGUGGAAUUCCUGGUGUAGGAGUGAAAUCCGUAGAUAUCGGGAGGAACACCGGUGGCGAAGGCGGCUGCCUGGACCGAUAUUGACGCUGAGACGCGAAAGCGUGGGUAGCAAACAGGAUUAGAUACCCUGGUAGUCCACGCCGUAAACGAUGAGUACCUAGGUGUUGCGGGUAUUGACCCCUGCAGUGCCGCAGCUAACGCAUUAAGUACUCCGCCUGGGAAGUACGGUCGCAAGACUAAA
rnacentral:rRNA from 1 species